rnacentral:rRNA from 1 species
GACGUAGGUGGCGAACGUUAUCCGGAAUCAUUGGGCGUAAAGGGUGCGUAGAUGGCUUGAUAAGUUAUUAGUGGGAAAUCGAGGCUCAACCUCGUGGAAGCUAGUAAUACUGUUUUGCUUGAGUACAGAAGAGGUUAACGGAACUCCAUGUGGAGCGGUAAAAUGCGUAGAUAUAUGGAAGAACACCAAUAACGGCGAAGGCAGUUAACUAUUCUGUUACUGACAUUGAGGCACGAAAGCGUGGGGAGCAAAACGG